GAUGAACGCUGGCGGCGUGCCUAAUACAUGCAAGUCGAGCGAACGGACGAGAAGCUUGCUUCUCUGAUGUUAGCGGCGGACGGGUGAGUAACACGUGGAUAACCUACCUAUAAGACUGGGAUAACUUCGGGAAACCGGAGCUAAUACCGGAUAAUAUUUUGAACCGCAUGGUUCAAAAGUGAAAGACGGUCUUGCUGUCACGUAUAGAUGGAUCCGCGCUGCAUUGGCUAGUUGGUAAGGUAACGGCUUACCAAGGCAACGAUGCAUAGCCGACCUGAGAGGGUGAUCGGCCACACUGGAACUGAGACACGGUCCAGACUCCUACGGGAGGCAGCAGUAGGGAAUCUUCCACAAUGGGCGAAAGCCUGACGGAGCAACGCCGCGUGAGUGAUGAAGGUCUUCGGAUCGUAAAACUCUGUUAUUAGGGAAGAACAUAUGUGUAAGUAACUGUGCACAUCUUGACGGUACCUAAUCAGAAAGCCCCGGCUAACUACGUG
rnacentral:rRNA from 1 species